rnacentral:lncRNA from 10 species
AAGAUACAGCAAGAAGGUGGCCAUCUACAAACCAGGAAAAGAGACCUCGCCAGGAACCAAAUUGGCCAGCACCUUGAGCUUGACGGUCCCAGUCUUCAGAACUGUGAGAAAUAAGCUACCCAGUCUAUGGUCUCGCCGGAGACUGAUGGCACACCUGAAUCGGUUGAGCAUAUCGGUUGAGGGCCAACCUGGGAUUUAGAGUAUAGUGGCCACAGAAAGGCAUCACCCAGAUCUCCUGCUGAAGGAACAAAGUUGGCUCAUGUUCACCCUGAGGCUGUGCUUCUACCAAGCUUACUCCACCCAGUGACUGAGCACAGCACAGUACAGUGCCAACCCCUUCUUGAGGAUUUGGGACUCCUCUAAGGGUAUUGAAGGCUCAUCCUGGCUCUUCCUGCUUCUCCAAGACCUGAACUGUCACCCAGAACCUGGAUGUUUGACAAACUGGAUAGGCUACUGCUGCCUACAGUCAGGUGUUUGCAUGAGUUUGCAUGCCUAUCAAUACAAGCAGGCUUUAAUCUUUUUGUUUUUAUUUGAUGUGAUUUGUUGGUAAAAGCAGAUGGUAGGAUUUGGAGUUUGGAGAUGGAAAAGAGCAGGUGGAUGGAGGGGUUGCCAUGGUGACUGUCUGCUUGCCUAGCGUUAGAAGUCAGUUUUCAGCUUGCAUGGAAGAAUGGCUAAUGGCCAGAAGUUGAAGGAGCUAUGUACAAAAAAGACGAUUUGAGAAAUUGGGCAUAAGCAGUCCCACAUGACCAAAAGUGAUGGUCAGGAAAAAGGACAGUCACACUCACAGUUGACCACAAACCACAACACACCAGCAGAAAUGGCUAUGCCCAGUGGGAAUCAUUUUCAUUGAGGAUUGUAUCAGUCAGCUAUUGCUGUGUAACAAAUCACCUGAACACUCCAAAACUCAGUGGCUUAAAAUAACAAUCAUUUAUUAUCAUUCAUAUGUCUACAAGUCAGCUAGAGUUUGGCUGAUAUCGGUUGGGCUCUACUGAGGCACAUCUGCGUCACAUAUCUCUCAUCUUCUUCCUUGGACUACCUGUCCAGCCAAGGCAUGUUCGUCUCAUGAUGCAGUGAAAGAUGAGGGAAGAAGACCAAGUUGGUAACCUCUUAACUUCUGACACUACUUUCUAUUAGAGACACUCUGAUGUUUCCAUGGCCCUUUUCCAAUGGUCCAAGGAAGCCAUGGAGAUGGGCUUGGCGGCAAAGAGUAUAAAGUGGACUCUGAGCCAUAAAGUGGACUCUGAGCCAAUUCGACUUAACACUGCCACAAACUUUCUCAUUCUGCCAGUGUGGUAUGAUGUGAACUACAUGGAAUUUUGAAAUCACAGAGACCCAAAUUCCAAUUCUGUCUCUUACCCUCAUUAACUAGAGAACAUGGGUGACCUAUUUUAACCUCAUAGAGUGGAGUUUCGAUUUCCAGAUCUAUAAAAUGGGGAUUAUGAUACACACCUCUUGCGGUGGUUUUAACUUGGGUUGAUUUGAUCAGAUAAUGUAUGUACAAAUUUUUGCAAACAAUAAAGACU